rnacentral:rRNA from 1 species
AUAGUAUUAUUGAGAUUGUUUUUUUAGGUAGUUUAUUAAUUAAAGUAAUUUUAGUGGUUAAUUUUUAGUAUAGUUUAUAGAAAUUAUGAGGUAAAUAAUAGGGAAGUAGUACUGUGAAGGAAAUAUGAAAUAGGUGAAAUAAUUAUUUGGAUGGAAGAAGGAUAAAAUCUGUACCUUGGGUAUCAGGGUUUAUUAAUUAAUGGUAAUGAUUUAUAGUUCUCGAAUUAAAAAGAGUUAAAGUAGUAUGAUUAGUUAAUGUAUCAUUAUUAUUAAAAAUAUUAUUUUAGGGAUGAAAUGUUAAACGUUUUUUAAGUUAUCUGGUUUUUCAAGAAAUGAAUUUAAUUCAUGUUAUUAGGAGUAAAUGGUUGAUUGAUAUUAAUAAUUUAUUUUUCUUGUAGCAAAUAUAUAAGGGGAUAAGCUUUUAUAUAGUAACUAUAAAUUAUGAUAUUUACAGAGAGUAGUAGGCUUUAAAUUAGCUAUCAAUGGAAUAAUGUUAUAAAUUGUUUUGUAGGUAAAGUAUUUUUUAAUGGUUUUAGUUUGUAUAUUGAGAUGUUGUAUUAAAUAAGUUAAUAUAAGUGAUGAUGAUAAAAUAAGUAUAUAGGAUUGUUUGCUAUAAAAUUUUUUUAGGAAUUUAUAAUAAGGAACUAGGCAAAAUAUCACUCGCCUGUUUAUCAAAAACAUCUCCUUUUGUAUACAUAUAAGGUAGGGCCUGCCCACUGAAAGUUAUUUGAAGGGCCGCAGUAUUAUGACUGUGCAAAGGUAGCAUAAUCAUUAGUCUUUUAAUUGAAGGCUGGAAUGAAUGGUUUGACGAGGUGAUGACUGUCUCAUUAUAAUAUAUAGAAGUUAACUUUUAAGUUAAAAGGCUUAAAUUUUAAUGGAGGACGAGAAGACCCUAUAGAGCUUUAUAUAUAGAUUUAAAUUUGUAUUUAGAGGUUUACAAAGAUUUAGGUUGAUUAUAUUGUGUUGGGGUGACAUAAAGAUAGGACUAACUCUUUAUUUUAGGGACAUUGAUGUAUGGAUUUUUUGAUCCAUUUUUAUUGAUCAUAAGAUUAAGUUACCUUAGGGAUAACAGCGUAAUUUUUCUUGAGAGUUCAUAUCAACAGAGGAGAUUGCGACCUCGAUGUUGGAUUAAGGAAUAUAAUUGGAUGCAGCAGUUCAGUUAAUAGGUCUGUUCGACCUUUAAAUCCUUACAUGAUCUGAGUUCAGACCGGUGUAAGCCAGGUCGGUUUCUAUCCUCAUUGWUUUUUUAUACUUUAGUACGAAAGGACCAAGUAUUUUAAAYAUUUUAUUWUAUUUGAYUAUUAUUA